UAAUCCACUAUAUAAACAAACGCAAAGG
rnacentral:piRNA from 1 species